rnacentral:rRNA from 1 species
AUGCACGCUGGCGGCGUGCCUAAUACCUGCAAGUCGCGCGCACAGACGAGGAGCUUGCUCCUCUGACGUUAGCGGCGGACGGGUGAGUAACACGUGGAUAACCUACCUAUAAGACUGGGAUAACUUCGGGAAACCGGAGCUAAUACCGGAUAAUAUAUUGAACCGCAUGGUUCAAUAGUGAAAGACGGUUUUGCUGUCACUUAUAGAUGGAUCCGCGCCGCAUUAGCUAGUUGGUAAGGUAACGGCUUACCAAGGCGACGAUGCGUAGCCGACCUGAGAGGGUGAUCGGCCACACUGGAACUGAGACACGGUCCAGACUCCUACGGGAGGCAGCAGUAGGGAAUCUUCCGCAAUGGGCGAAAGCCUGACGGAGCAACGCCGCGUGAGUGAUGAAGGUCUUCGGAUCGUAAAACUCUGUUAUUAGGGAAGAACAAAUGUGUAAGUAACUAUGCACGUCUUGACGGUACCUAAUCAGAAAGCCACGGCUAACUACGUG